rnacentral:lncRNA from 1 species
AAACAUCCCGAACAAGAAGCAACGCUACGACACAGCGCCUUAGAACCAACAAACCAACCUCAAGUCAAAACACCAGAGAGGAAAAGACCAGACGUAACACUUGUUUUUAUUUCGUCGACUUCUUUAUUACCUCUUCAGUUUCAAACUGACCAUGGCAAACAGACAACUCCUCGCCCUCGCCUUUAUCGUCUCUCUCGCCCUCGCCGUCGUAGAAGCAAGGAACUUCCAUGCGGCGAUGGGGGGUCCUCGCCCGUGGCAGGCCGGAAUGAAACAGCAAAGCGCACUACCCGAUAAAGGCACUAACCCAUUCCUGAAGAGGCUCAAGCAAAUCGUCUUCCAACCUGAUGGCUUCUACGAUCCAGGCAUGGACCACUUUGCCUUUGGAGAGGCUUUCAAUGCCGAUGAAUAGAGAACCCAUCGACCACACAGAAGAUGCUGAGUAAACAUUUAUUUUUUCAGAAACCCCCCCGGCUAACCUUGCAGAUAAACUCCUUCGUCCUCUGUCGAUUACCUCAGCACCAGAAUGUGCGCUACUCCUUACCAUGAUUCCAGAAUUUCGUUCUCACCCAUGUAACACCUUAGUCGCAAGGCCGCCAUUUUGUUUCCAGCCUAGGACAAAUGUAUGGAAACCUGCCAGCAACUGUUUCUGCGAUAAACUGUUUUUUGAAAAAACAAUUUACAAAUUAAAGUGCUCAUGCCUGUUAAUAACUUAAGAUAUUUUAUCGAGUCAGAUGGUCAUAAUGCAGAUCGGCUUUUUUCAGGUGGUAGUUCAUGCUUAUCAUGCUUACCAUGCCGCGCUUUGGGUGGAUCCUGUCGUGGCCAAUUUGGUGUUUCCUCUCAAAGAGAGAGAAAGAGAGAAAUAGAGAGAGAGAGAGAGGGUAAGGUGUCACAGAUGUGAUUAAAGUUAUUUAGGCAGGACAUAAAUGAACGAGCCCUGACGGAAUUGUGACUGUUUGUAAUGGUGAAAUUAUCUUUAGAUUCCAUGAGCACGUACUAUUGCGUUCUUGGACAGCAUCUUAUAUACAAUUAUGAUUGCGUUUGGUCUGAAUCGAUCGCAAGUCUAUCAUUGCAAAUUCCAUGUUUUAUGUUGGCAGUUGAACUGAUAGCAAACUCAGGUUGAGUUGCAGUCGAUUCUGAUCAAUCGCAACUCCAUUUACGAGACCGAACACAACCUUUAUUCUUUGGAAAUCAGCCGUUACAAGGGUAGUUACAUAAUGUUGAUGGUUCCAAAUAAUCAUACCACUGAGGACCAAAUCAUGAGAUGGCGACGACCUAAUACCACCUUUAUACCCGAUUUGCGAUAAAUCUAAUGCAACCUAAAUUAUACUUACGUGCAAUCUCUAUUUGUUCUCUCAUGUGCAAUGUUCUUUUAACUUUAACUUAUUUUUCUAGUACAUGUACAUUCCUCCCCAAAAAGCGUAAACACUCAAUUAGGAUCCCAAUUUAUUUUACCACCGGUAGUUGUAAUUAGUUUCUUUUUUGUAAAUAAUAGAAGUUUAGCUAUGGUUUAUUUUCUACAUUGUGUAAAGACUUCAUGAAUGUGUGUACCCACCCUAUCAUGUCUAUAAAUGUAAGCAGAUAUUUUAUGUUUGUCAUACUGCAUUAGUUAUAUGCAUAGAAAGGUAUGUAGCGACGUCUACGACAGCACUUAUUUAUAAAUACUCUGUGUAAAUUAAUGAUAAUUCCACAAUCCUUUUUACAGACUAGGACCGAAAAAAAAAGAAACUUUGGAUUGUUAACAGUUAAAAAGGGGGUUACUAUAUAUUUGAUGAACCCAAGCAUUUAAUAAGAACAAAAAAUAUAAUAUUCAAAGUUGGAUUAAAAUGAACGUAAGUGUAUAUUAGGACGCUUAGUUAAGUUCUUAUCAGUAAAAAAAAUCAGCCAAUAACUUUGUAACUUGUAAAACAAAUUAAGCGAAUUAUUAUCAUCGUUACCUUAAUCUUGUCUAAAAUCUUUGUUAUUUUUUAGUAUAGUCUUCUCAAGUUUUAAAUAAAUUAUUUCACAGCCCAAACUGUGCUUCUAUCCCCAAAUAAAAACUAGAAAGCAGUA